UAGGGAAUCUUCGGCAAUGGGGGGAACCCUGACCGAGCAACGCCGCGUGAGUGAAGAAGGUUUUCGGAUCGUAAAGCUCUGUUGUUAAGGAAGAACGAGUGUGAGAAUGGAAAGUUCAUACUGUGACGGUACUUAACCAGAAAGGGACGGCUAACUACGUGCCAGCAGCCGCGGUAAUACGUAGUUCCCGAGCGUUGUCCGGAUGUAUUGGGCGUAAAGCGAGCGCAGGCGGUUAGAUAAGUCUGAAGUUAAAGGCAGUGGCUCAACCAUUGUAGGCUUUGGAAACUGUUCAACUUGAGUGCAGAAGGGGAGAGUGGAAUUCCAUGUGUAGCGGUGAAAUGCGUAGAUAUAUGGAGGAAGACCGGUGGCGAAAGCGGCUCUCUGGUCUGUGACUGACGCUGAGGCUCGAAAGCGUGGGGAGCGAACAGG
rnacentral:rRNA from 1 species